rnacentral:tRNA from 1 species
GGACUUGAAUUUUGAGCCUUAUUAGAGAAAUCUACUAAGUGAUUGUUUUCACAUUCAGGGAAACCUAAGGUUUGAGAUAUGAGGUAAUCCUGAGCCAAAUUUUAAUUAUGAAAUAGGUGCAGAGACUCGAAGGAAACUAUCCUAACGAAAAAUUUUUUCUCUCUUUUUUUUUAUUACGAGUAUUGUUUUAUUACACAGUACAAAAUAUAUUCGAAAUAAUUAAAAUAUCUGAAUACUACUAUAAAUAUUAGUUUUUUCAAUAAAGAAUAAUAGACGAGGAUAAAGAUAGAGUCCUUUUUUACAAUCUAUAUAGUUUUUAGUUAUAAAUAAUUGUAAAGAUAGAGUCCUUUUUUACAAUCUAUAUAGUUUUUAGUUAUAAAUAAUUGUAAAAAGAAAAUCCGUUGGCUUAAUAGACCUUGAGGGUUCAAGUCCCUCUACCCCCA